rnacentral:piRNA from 2 species
UGACUGAGGAAGUGAUAAAAUCAAAUGUGC